AUUGAACGCUGGCGGCAUGCCUUACACAUGCAAGUCGAACGGCAGCACGGGAGCAAUCCUGGUGGCGAGUGGCGAACGGGUGAGUAAAGUAUCGGAACGUGCCCAGUCGUGGGGGAUAACGUAGCGAAAGCUACGCUAAUACCGCAUACGAUCUAUGGAUGAAAGCGGGGGAUCGCAAGACCUCGCGCGAUUGGAGCGGCCGAUAUCAGAUUAGGUAGUUGGUGGGGUAAAGGCCCACCAAGCCGACGAUCUGUAGCUGGUCUGAGAGGACGACCAGCCACACUGGGACUGAGACACGGCCCAGACUCCUACGGGAGGCGGCAGUGGGGAAUUUUGGACAAUGGGCGAAAGCCUGAUCCAGCCAUGCCGCGUGCAGGAUGAAGGCCUUCGGGUUGUAAACUGCUUUUGUACGGAACGAAAAGGACUGCCCUAAUACGGUGGUCCCAUGACGGUACCGUAAGAAUAAGCACCGGCUAACUACGUGCCAGCCGCCGCGGUAA
rnacentral:rRNA from 1 species